rnacentral:misc_RNA from 1 species
GAUGAAGAACGCAGCGAAAUGCGAUACGUAGUGUGAAUUGCAGAAUUCAGUGAAUCAUCGAAUCUUUGAACGCACAUUGCACCUCUCGGUAUUCCGGGAGGUAUGCCUGUUCGAGCGUCAUUUGUACCCUCAAGCUCUGCUUGGUGUUGGGUGUUUGUUCCGCCUCUGUGUGUGAACUCGCCUCAAAACAAUUGGCAGCCGGCGUACUUGUUUCGGAGCGCAGCACAUUUUGCGAUCCAGAUCAACGUACAGCGGCAUCCAAGAAGCCUUAUUUAACGCUCUUGACCUCGGAUCAGGUAGGGAUACCCGCUGAGCUUAAGCAUAUCAAUAAGCGGAGGA